AAUCCAGUUCCGAUAAGGCAAGACUUGGGCAAACAUUGCCAAUGAAGAGGAGAUAUAGAAACAUUGUUUCAUUUCUCCUCUUAUCUCUAUGCUUACUUUGUGUUUACUGCCAGGUGCAAAGGACAGAGAGGAUAACAAUAUAACAAUGACUGCCAGGGAGCUAAGAUGGAGGUGCCCAGUUGCAGGAUAAAGAGGUGUGGAUUUCUAUGUAGUAAAC